rnacentral:rRNA from 1 species
UACGGAGGGUGCAAGCGUUAUCCGGAUUCACUGGGUUUAAAGGGUGCGUAGGCGGGCAGGUAAGUCCGUGGUGAAAUCCCCAAGCUUAACUUGGGAACUGCCGUGGAUACUAUCUGUCUUGAAUACCGUGGAGGUGAGCGGAAUAUGUCAUGUAGCGGUGAAAUGCUUAGAUAUGACAUAGAACACCAAUUGCGAAGGCAGCUCACUACACGAAUAUUGACGCUGAGGCACGAAAGCGUGGGGAGCAAACAGG